UACGAAGGGGGCUAGCGUUGCUCGGAAUUACUGGGCGUAAAGGGCGCGUAGGCGGACAGUUUAGUCAGAGGUGAAAGCCCAGGGCUCAACCUUGGAAUAGCCUUUGAUACUGACUGUCUUGAGUUCGGGGAGAGGUGAGUGGAAUGCCGAGUGUAGAGGUGAAAUUCGUAGAUAUUCGGCGGAACACCAGUGGCGAAGGCGACUCACUGGCCCGAUACUGACGCUGAGGCGCG
rnacentral:rRNA from 1 species